AGAGCACUGAUCAGGGAUAGUGACUGACUGACACUGCUGCAAAAACUCUACAGUCAGCAAAAUACAAACAGGUUUUAGAUACAGAGACAGCAGAACAGCAUGGCCACUGCGAAUGAAAAAGACACAGUGUGGAUCGGGUUCAUGGAUAUCGUUCCGGUCAUCGGGAAGGUAAAAGAGGCAGUGGAGCUGGUGCUGGCUCUGUACGAAGGGAAUAAAGCGGUGAUAAAGGAGAAAGAGAAGGCCGUUGAAAACAUUGUGAAAAAGAUGACUAAAUCAGCAGCAUUUCCAGCUGAUAAAUCAGCAGCAUUUCCAGCUGAUAAAACAGCAGCAGCUGCAGCUGAAUUUUCUGGACUCGGAAAUGUGAGAGAGGUCAGAAUGGAAAUGGUUAUUGUACAUCUGGCCCAAGCUUUCACAAGGGGAAAAAAAGUUCAAACUUCAGCUGAGCAGAAAAGUGAGCAGAAAGACAGACAGAAAAAAAUGGAGUACAUUAAGAAAGACAUGUUAGAAAAGAUCCAUAUGAUCGAUCCAAACUUCAAUGAGGAGCUGAAGGAAGAACUGAGAAGGUCACAAAGAGGCGAACAUGUCUUCAACAAUAACAUUCUUAAAUUUCAUUGCAAAGUGCUAGAUGAUUUUAUACAAGAACAAAAUAUUGAUAAUCUACAAAGAUAUAAUCCGCAGGAAAUGGAUACAUUACGCAGACAGACACUUACCCAAAAUGCAGAAGAAGAAAUUCAGACAAACAUGGUGGUUCACUUUGGUGAGGAUGAAUUCUAUGUGAAUGCAAAUGCAGUGAUAUAUGGUGUAUAUUGCAGAGCACUGCGUGGUGCUUUGUUAAAUGUGCUGCGCCACAUAAACCCAGGUGAGGUGGCAGAAGAGAAGAGACAUUGGGUGAAUUUUGUCAUAAAUACUAUGAAUAACUAUGAAAUCUAUGUGGACCAAAUGGCAAAGGUCCGUUGGAUUGCCAAUAUAGAGACUAGACGGGCCCGGUUUGAACGGGUAAAACAGGAAGUUGUGACCAUGUAUAACACAGAUCGUGGGUAUGACUGGUGCAUUAGCAUUCUGCAUGAAGUUGCAGGUUUGUUUGAACAUAGACAGUGAGUUCAUUUCUCCUGUUCAGGGUUGCCAGGUUUCCUUUCAAAAUUUCCAUCUUAACUACAUCCUAAAUCCCACAGACCUGAAACUAGCUGAAAGUUUGGACACUGGAAGAAACAAAGUUCACUGUGGUGCACACAUAUUUGUAUGUUUGCAAUGUUUCCAACACACUUAGGGUCAGAGUUUUGUCACCCAUAGCCUGUUACAACUGUUAUUUUUUAUUUUAUUUAUUUCAUUUAUUUGUACAGGGACAACGUACAACAACAGUGUCAUGCCAGAGUUAGCUAUAAAGCUAAUUUGUAUCUGCAAUCCCUGGGCAGGAUGUUCUUACAAAAUUACAAUAUUAAGUGACAAACAAUACAAUAAAUAUUACACAUACAACA
ensembl:lncRNA